rnacentral:rRNA from 1 species
UACGGAAGGUCCAGGCGUUAUCCGGAUUUAUUGGGUUUAAAGGGAGCGUAGGCCGCCUAGUAAGCGUGUUGUGAAAAAUACCGGCUCAACCGGUAUCCUGCAGCGCGAACUGCCUGGCUUGAGUGUGCGCAACGUUGGCGGAAUUCGUCGUGUAGCGGUGUAAUGCUUAGAUAUGACGAAGAACUCCGAUUGCGAAGGCAGCUGACGGGAGCACAACUGACGCUGAAGCUCGAAAGUGCGGGUAUCGAACAGG